AUUGAACGCUGGCGGAAUGCUUUACACAUGCAAGUCGAGCGGCAGCACGGGGGCAACCCUGGUGGCGAGCGGCGAACGGGUGAGUAAUACAUCGGAACAUGCCCAGUCGUGGGGGAUAACACUUCGACAGAAGUGCUAAUACCGCAUACGUCCUGAGGGAGAACGCGGGGGAUCUUCGGACCUCGCGCGAUUGGAGUGGCCGGUGUCCGAUUAGUUAGUUGGUGGGGUAAAGGCCUACCAAGGCAACGAUCUGUAGCUGGUCUGAGAGGAUGAUCAGCAACACUGGGACUGAGACACGGCCCAGACUCCUACGGGAGGCAGCAGUGGGGAAUUUUGGACAAUGGGGGCAACCCUGAUCCAGCCAGUCCGCGUGAGUGAAGAAGGCGUUCGGGUUGUAAAGCUCUUUCGGCAGGAACGAAACGGCGAGCUCUAACAUAGCUUGCUAAUGACGGUACCUGAAGAAGAAGCACCGGCUAACUACGUGCCAGCCGCCGCCGUAAUAC
rnacentral:rRNA from 1 species